rnacentral:rRNA from 1 species
AUGGGCUUCUUGAAAAUGCUUCUCCUGGGAAGAAAAAUUCAGCUGACUACUUUAUCUUCAGUGGUGCUAUACUGUAGUGGUGGAAGUACUUCAUUAUAUGCAGCUAUUGAACUUCACGGAAGUGACCAAUUUCCUUGGGUCAUUGGUUUGUUGAGUUGCUGCAUUACUAGUUCCAUGUGUAAGGUGCGGUGGGUGAUUCUUACCUGUACAAAUUUAAGGACUGGAGGUGAUCUGUGCAAGUGGAAGCAACUAAUAAUGUUCAUGUUUGCUGCAAGGGGUUGCACUGUUCCGAUUCUGGCAUGUGAUCCUGACAACUUUCUUAUGAAAAUAAUGGUUGACUUCUCUGCUCCGGAACUGAAUCAACGAGGUCAUGCACUGAUGCAAUGGAAGAUCCCAUGGUUACAAAGAACAGAUCGAAGAGCGCUCUCCUGUGAUCUAUUGCUUGAAGAUUGA